rnacentral:rRNA from 1 species
AGAAUCAACGCUGGCGGCGUGCCUCAGACAUGCAAGUCGAACGCGAAAGUCUCCUUCGGGGGACAAGUAGAGUGGCGCACGGGUGAGUAACACGUAGGUAAUCUACCUUCGGAUGGGGAAUAACAACCGGAAACGGUUGCUAAUACCGCAUAAUGCAGCGGCACCUAAUGGUGACAGUUGUUAAAGCGGGGGAUCGAAAGACCUCGCGUCUGAAGAGGAGCCUGCGGCGGAUUAGCUAGUUGGUAGGGUAACGGCCUACCAAGGCGACGAUCCGUAGCCGGCCUGAGAGGGCGGUCGGCCACACUGACACUGACAUACGGGUCAGACUCCUACGGGAGCAGCAGUCGGGGAUUUGGGCAAU